AUUGAACGCUGGCGGCAUGCCUUACACAUGCAAGUCGAACGGUAACAGGUCUUCGGAUGCUGACGAGUGGCGAACGGGUGAGUAAUACAUCGGAACGUGCCUAGUAGUGGGGGAUAACUACUCGAAAGAGUGGCUAAUACCGCAUGAGAUCUACGGAUGAAAGCAGGGGAUCGCAAGACCUUGUGCUACUAGAGCGGCCGAUGGCAGAUUAGGUAGUUGGUGGGAUAAAAGCUUACCAAGCCGACGAUCUGUAGCUGGUCUGAGAGGACGAUCAGCCAGAAUGGGACUGAGACACGGCCCAGACUCCUACGGGAGGCAGCAGUGGGGAAUUUUGGACAAUGGGCGGAAGCCUGAUCCAGCAAUGCCGCGUGCAGGAUGAAGGCCUUCGGGUUGUAAACUGCUUUUGUACGGAACGAAAAGCCCCGGGUUAAUACCCUGGGGUCAUGACGGUACCGUAAGAAUAAGCACCGGCUAACUACGUGCCAGCAGCCGCCGUAA
rnacentral:rRNA from 1 species